ensembl:lncRNA
CUCGAGUCGGUUAUGAAUGGCGAACAUGCAGCUCAAAUGGCAGUCUAGUUCAAUCACGCGCUGCUUGUGCUGUUGUGUGGUUCAUCGUGUGGUUAUGGGCACGAUGAUGGCGUUCUCAUUUGAGCACAAAAACGCUUGGAAAUCUGUUUAGCUGACAAAACAGGAACGGCACUCAGGUUAAACUCGUGACAAUAAACUGACACCAAGCAUUCACUAUUAAAAACAUUCAACACGACGCUUCGGUGGUGUUCUCAAACGUUUCAGUAAACACAAAUGUUAGCGAAAGCGCGUGCAGCAGUCUAAUAGUCCCAUUCACCUGAGCAUCCAUACGCUUUCAGUAUCAUUGCGAUCAGUUUCAGACUGGGACUGCCAGUGUUUACAUUGAAUUACAUCAUACAAAGUUUUGUUUAAAAUGAUUCCAUCGAUACCGUUCUAGUGGCACCAAAUGACAGAUUGCGCGAACCAGAAAGCAAACAUUUCUUAUUUCUAUAACGAAUACUGCUGAAAGAUGGUUAGCUCUUUAUUCUCAUGCCUAAUGCUAUAAAGCAGUCGCAUCCAAUUCCCUUCUGCGUAAAGUUAUCGUAAAUGCGGGUGCAGCACUAAUAGCAUGCAGGGGACAGCACGUAAACCAAUACAUUUGAAUCACAAAACAUGCAUAGUCCUCUAAACACACUGUACGGCUGAAAGAGGCUACUGGAGCGGUUGGUUUAUCAAAGGCGAUACGUCAUUGCGAGCCGCAGCGAUUGGCUGGAUUCCGCUCCUUUUUCUCCAGAAUUUGCAACCGCGAGCGGUCUUCGCCUCCGGAGCAGCGACAUCUCACAGUAGAGGCAGGUCAUUGGACUGCUGCCUCCACUGGCCCUGGAAGCUCUUGCCUCCAUCCAUCCAUCCAUCCAUCCAUCCAUCCAUCCAUCCAUCCACAUGGUCAUCCAUUCAGAACUUUAAAACAAACCAUCAGUCAUAGUUUUUCUUGACAGAAUUCACCUUUUUAGUUAAAAAUGACAGUUCUGUGAAUUUCUUUCAUUUUCAACAUCAGUUUUAAAUUCAGGAAAUGAAUCAGAAUGUAAAAGUCACUCUCAGUUCAGUCCUGAAUGGUGCACAAUGAAACUCAAUGCUGCUGCUGGCAUGUUCCUGACGGAGGUGUAGGAUGUGAAACACAGGAGUAACAUGCAGCUGUCAGCCAUCUAAACCGUACUUCAGAGCUGAAUCCAAUCACCCUUCACAAAUCAAAUAAUUAGUGGCCCUCCAUCUACAGUACUGUAUGUUAAAAGGCUAAUUGCUUGACUGCGGCA